AGGCCCGCGGAGCCCGGCGGGGCAGGGCGGGGCGAGGCGGCCGAGGGAGGCCCAGCCCGACCCGGCGCCCGGUGGCCCCACCGGCACAACCGGGCGCCCGGGGGCUGGCCAGGCUGCGAGCCGAGGGCCAUAGGGCGGGAGGCGGUGGAGCGGAGCGGAGGCUGCUAUCCCCGUGCGCCCCGGCCCGCCGGGCCCGCCGCGCGCUCCCUCCCCUCGCCUCGCCUCGCCUCGCCUCGCCUCCUCCUCUUGCUCUUCUCGCCUCCUCUCCUCCGCCCGGCGCCGCUCCCGCCCGCGCCCGGCCGCCAGACCCAGCCCGGCCGGGCCCUCUGCCCCGCUCUUCCUCGGCCCGGCCCGGCGGGGACCUGGUCCCCGCGGCCAACACCGCCCCUCCCGCCGGGGCCCGGAGAUUCCGGACCUUUCCGACCGUGGACUGAGCCGCGGGAGCGUUGUCGCCCCCGGGGGACCCCGUGGCUAGGCUGAGCGGACCCUCGCGGCCGCUCCGGACGCCGCAGGUGCCGGAGCGCGGUCAUUCGGGGUCCGGGCUGAGCGCGCCCCGGGCGCCCACGGGUGCCAGCUCACUCCGGGCAGGGCAGGGCAGACCCCGGCAGAGCCCGGAGCCGGCCGAUCUGGACUGGACAGAGCGAAUUCAAGACGGUGCUGAGCCCUGGGAAUGCCGGGCGUGGGCUGAAGGGAUCCCGGCGCCCUCCGAUCCCUCAGACUUUGACUUGCGUGCUGGGACCGGACCGGCAUCGCCUCGGUCGCCCUGUGCCCGGUUCACCUGUGGCUUCAGAGCCCCGGACCCACCGGACCCUUGCUCAUUCCCCACCAGAGCCCGGCGGGGGUUGGGAGAGAUUUUUCCUGGCCUCUUCCUUGAAGCGUGGAGGCCCCGCCCCCUCCCACCGUCCAGAUGUCUCCAGUGGAGGCUCUGAGGACCUCCUUGAGGCCAAGGGCCGAAGGGUCCAGAGAGAGAAGCCCGCCCUAGGGAGCCUUGGGGGCCCCCCAACCUCGCCUUGGGACUUGGCCCCAGACGCUGCGCAGAAGGAAGGCCGGUGCCCCCACUCCCCCACUUGGGGGCUGCCCUCCUCCAAUCCAGCUCCCUUCCCAGAGCCACCCACAUCUGGAGCCCCCUUCACAUCUGGAAGACCCCAGCCACCAUCCCUCUGCAGGUGUCAGUUGCAUCUCGAGACCUCUGCCUUUGCAGUUUCCUAGGAGUUGUAAGGGGAUUACUGCUGCCUUCCUCCCAUCCCAAGGGCAUCUCUUACCCUUAGUCCCUGCAGAGUCAUCCCCCUGCCUCUGUGUCCAGCUUAGCAUACCCACAGGCACUUCAAGUCCUAGAGGCCACUCCUGAGACCCAAGGCCCCUCCCCCUGCUCUCGGGUGUCCUCACCUUGACCCCCCCUUGGUCAGACUCUGUCUCCCUCUGGGUGUCCCAUUCCCCACCCAGAGGUAGAGGAGGCGGGCUGGUAGGGGGCAGGGGCUGGGUGAGGGCCACCCAGGGCCAGGGUGGGCUAGGGGGCCGUUAAGAUGUGGAGCUCUGCCCGGCUGAGGGGGGCUCCGUGGAGGCAGACGCAGCGUGUGCCCAGUUGGGGGGAGUAUGGGCAGGCCUGCGGCCACGUGGUAAAGGAUGAACAUUCGGGGCACCCCGGACCUCGGGCAGCCCAGUGACGACCCCAGCAGUGGUGGCGAGCGGGAGCGGAUUCGACAGCGCAUGAAGAUGGUCAUUGGGCAGCUGGAGGACAUACUGCGGGAGCUCAAGGAAGUGGCCAAGGAGCUAAGGGAGGUGGUGAGCCAGAUCGAUAAGCUAACCUCGGACUUCGACUUCGAACUGGAGCCAGAUGACUGGACCACAGCCACUGUGAGCAGCACCUCCAGCAGUGACAAGGUGGGCGUGGGCGGCCCCUUUGACCUGGGCCACCUGGACUUUAUGACAGCUGACAUCCUCUCGGAUAGCUGGGAGUUCUGCUCCUUCCUGGACAUCUCCACCCCCUCAGACUCCGUGGACGGCCCCGAGUCGACCCGGCCGGGGGCUGGCCCUGACUACCGGCUCAUGAAUGGCAGCAUGCCCAUCCCCAACGGGCCCCGGGUGGAGACCCCGGACUCCUCCAGCGAGGAGGCCUUCAGCGCUGGCCCUGUGAAGGGCCAGCUGCCCCAGCGGACCCCGGGCACACGGGAGAGGGUGCGGUUCAGCGACAAAGUGCUCUACCAUGCUCUGUGCUGUGACGACGAGGAGGGGGACGGCGAGGAGGAGCAGCUUGAGUUCCGGAGAUCACGGCAGCUUGCUUCACUGCCCCUCGCUCAGAUCAGGGAGGGGAAAGAAACCUACAGAAUAGUAUCCAUUUCACCAAGGAAGAAACAGACCCAGAGCCAGGGAUCUCUGACAGAGCCCUGGAGGGUGGAAGCUUCCCCCUGUGGACCACAAUACCGUGAUGCAGCACCAGCAGGCCGUCCUACCUGCAGACACCAGCUCACCUGCCCUUCACUCUACCUGACCCAGCCUCCACCCACAAGAAGAGGCAUCAUUGCAAGACCGAGGGAUGAACUUAUACUUUUUAAUAAAAGAAUCUUCAAAUAGCCCUUGUAGCUAUUCCAUCAAUCCACUGGAGCACCAGCCACAGAGACAACUCAUUCACUAGGAAAACCACAGGAGCAGAGAAGAGGCUGCUGAGGCUGGGAGGAGAGAUGGCUUGUGAUGUCUCAGCCGCCACUGACACCACCACCAAUGAAACAUCUAUUCCCUCAGAGGGGCUGGCCCUGUGGGGCUUGCAAAGAGGAGAAGCCCAUUUUGUUGGGCUGCCCUCCCCUCCUUGUGAAGGUGGCUGCUCUGAUGCCAGGUUCCUGUCCUCAGAUUGAACCCCAGAAGGCAAUAUAACAGAGUCCUAUGGACCCAGCGCUGAGCUGGGGCAAGAACCCUCCUCUGAAUGCUGCUCUGAGCUGCUGGGCAACUGCUCCCCUUCUCAGACUCAGUGGUACAGGGGAAAGAGCUGGGAGGUCCCUUCCUGGGCAGGCUGAGGUACCCAGAUUUGUGGAUGCUGUCCUUCACUCUCCUCCCCGCCACUCUUUCAUCUACUCCCUUCUCCCCAUGUACAUACCCAUCCAGAGCCACAUCAGACCAGGAGCAACAGAGCCACAGCAGGUGCACAGAGCCAGACAACCAUCCCCAGGAGCCCCUCAGCCCAGGCAUCUCAGCCUAGCCUUGUUCCACUCCAGUGGGCAGGAAGAGCCCAGCUCAGGGACCUGGGGAAGGGGUAAGAAUGGUAUCUCCUGCCCCAUUAUCCCUCUGUGGGGGUGGGGCAGGGAUGGAGGUGCCAUGGCUGCCUCUGACACAGCUCCUCUCCUUGGGUAAGAGCCUCUUUCUCUUCCCCAAGCCAAAGCCAACAAGCCAAUUAAACCCUGAGAAAGUAGAAUCGAUCUGCAGGCCAAGGGAUUACAUUGAUCUGCAGUGCUGGUACCCAGGGGGCCAUGGCUGCCUCCCCCUUGAUCCUGGAGCUCCUUCUACUGCCAUCUUCAGCUGAGCAAUGAGCAAUCCUCCCCAUGCUCACCUCUAUCUUCCCACACUCCUCCACCCCUGCCAUGCCCUGUCUGACUGCCUACCCCCUCUCUGUUGGUCUGGGCUGAGCCUGAGGCCAUCUGUUCAGACCUAUUCAUUCACGUCACAUAAGCGUAGGUGAGGUGACACCAUGAAGCCUCUGUCCUUUGGGCCAUCUCUCUUCAUCUCAGUCAACCAGGGAAGGGGGCUACUGCUCUUGACCUCAG